CCUACUGUGCGCUAUGGUUAGACGA
rnacentral:piRNA from 1 species